rnacentral:rRNA from 1 species
UCUCCUGGAAAACGGGUGGUAAUGCCGGAUGUUCCACAUGAUCGCAUGUGAUUGUGGGAAAGAUUCUAUCGGCGUGGGAUGGGGUCGCGUCCUAUCAGCUUGUUGGUGAGGUAACGGCUCACCAAGGCUUCGACGGGUAGCCGGCCUGAGAGGGCGACCGGCCACAUUGGGACUGAGAUACGGCCCAGACUCCUACGGGAGGCAGCAGUGGGGAAUAUUGCACAAUGGGCGCAAGCCUGAUGCAGCGACGCCGCGUGAGGGAUGGAGGCCUUCGGGUUGUAAACCUCUUUUGUUUGGGAGCAAGCCUUCGGGUGAGUGUACCUUUCGAAUAAGCGCCGGCUAACUACGUGCCAGCAGCCGCGGUAAUACGUAGGGCGCAAGCGUUAUCCGGAUUUAUUGGGCGUAAAGGGCUCGUAGGCGGCUCGUCGCGUCCGGUGUGAAAGUCCAUCGCUUAACGGUGGAUCUGCGCCGGGUACGGGCGGGCUGGAGUGCGGUAGGGGAGACUGGAAUUCCCGGUGUAACGGUGGAAUGUGUAGAUAUCGGAAAAAGAAACACCA